GUGGGGAAUUUUGGACAAUGGGCGCAAGCCUGAUCCAGCAAUGCCGCGUGCAGGAAGAAGGCCUUCGGGUUGUAAACUGCUUUUGUACGGAACGAAACGGUCCGGGUUAAUACCCUGGGCUAAUGACGGUACCGUAAGAAUAAGCACCGGCUAACUACGUGCCAGUAGCCGCGGUAAUACGUAGGGUGCAAGCGUUAAUCGGAAUUACUGGGCGUAAAGCGUGCGCAGGCGGUUUUGUAAGACAGGCGUGAAAUCCCCGGGCUCAACCUGGGAAUUGCGCUUGUGACUGCAAGGCUGGAGUGCGGCAGAGGGGGAUGGAAUUCCGCGUGUAGCAGUGAAAUGCGUAGAUAUGCGGAGGAACACCGAUGGCGAAGGCAAUCCCCUGGGCCUGCACUGACGCUCAUGCACGAAAGCGUGGGGAGCAAACAGGAUUAGAAACCCCUGUAGUCC
rnacentral:rRNA from 1 species